rnacentral:tRNA from 1 species
GGUGUAGCUCAGUGGUAGAGUGCUUAAUUACAAUUCAGGAGGCCCUGAGUUUGAGUCUCAGAACCA